CUUUCUAGCUCUUAACGGAUUUCUCAAAGAGCUUCAGUACUUGAAAACCCACAAAACUCCCACAUUGCCUCUUCCAUUAUAUCCUCCUCAUCUCAGAUCUUCUUCCCCGUGCCUUAGAUUUCGCACUUGUUUCCUCUCAUUCUUCACUUACCAGGAAACAAAAUGCAGUCCUCGUUUUCGCUCUCCUGCUCUCAGGCCACUACAGUUCCCAGAUCAAAUUACACCUUCGAUUCCCUCCCUUUUGCUCCCCCUCCAAGCCUAUAAAUCUCCGUUUCUGUGGUCUGAGAAGGGAGGCCUUGGGCUUCUCUUCUCUUUCUCGGUCUCACUUUCGGCGAGGACUUCAGCUUCAUACUCCAACUCGCUCAAAAAGAAUUUCAGCUUCCCUUGUUGAUAAUGGAAGCCCUCCAAAGUUGUUUGAUUACGAUCUGAUCAUUAUCGGAGCUGGUGUUGGUGGUCAUGGAGCUGCACUUCAUGCCGUCGAAAAGGGCCUAAAGACUGCUAUCAUUGAGGGAGAUGUGGUGGGAGGCACAUGUGUAAACAGGGGAUGUGUUCCUUCAAAGGCUCUUUUGGCUGUCAGUGGUAGGAUGCGUGAACUUCAGAGUGAGCAUCAUAUGAAAGCUUUAGGUCUGCAGGUUUCAGCAGCUGGCUAUGACAGACAGGGAGUUGCUGAUCAUGCAAAUAACCUUGCUUCAAAAAUUCGUAACAAUUU
rnacentral:misc_RNA from 1 species